UAUAGACAAGUUGGGAGAGGAGGGGGGUCAAGGAGACAGAGAAAUGGCUCCUCCUGCUGGUAAUUCCAUUCACAGGUCCGGUUCCAGACCCCAGCUGGACCUUAGCAAGGCUGCAAUUCAGGGGAAUUCUGAGGACAGGGAUCCCACAAUUCUGUUGCCUAAUCAAUCUGCUGAUAUAUCCCAUUUAGCUCUUGAUAUAGGAUCUCUAAUCAAGUUGGUUUACUUUUCAAGACAUGAAGAUCGACCAAUAAAUGAUAGGAGGAAGAAGACAGUUAAGGAGAGAUUAGGG
rnacentral:misc_RNA from 1 species